rnacentral:misc_RNA from 1 species
UUUCCGUAGGUGAACCUGCGGAAGGAUCAUUGCACACACAAGUUGCAGCCAACCCGCCGCGAACGAACACAUUGUCCCCCUCGGCGGGUCGUGGCGCCUCGCGGCGUCGCGGCCGGCCACCUCCCUUCGUCACGGCGAAGGGAACUCCACGCUGCUUUCACCUUUACCGAAUGACUGAGUCCCUUGACUUGAACAUAGGAGUGAGUUCCGCGUCCCCCUUGGCAUGGCUUGCCUUGCGAAGGGGGGCCGGCGCUGGUUACCUUGCGAGUUGAAACAUAACCAAAAACAACUCUCAGCAACGGAUAUCUUGGCUCUU